GGUUCGGGUGUUGGGGCCUGGUCCCGCUUGCAAAAGCUCCCACGGACCAGAGAAAAGAGGAGGAUGUCAGACGUAGAAACAAAUGGCGUGUCAAGUUUCGCAGGAAGAGAGGGAAGAGUGAAGCUCCGGGAGCCAGCCACGAUUAGUCGCGCCUUCUGUGACGUCCAAUGGCAGAGGUGACUCUGAAGCAGAACUCUUGAGAUGGAAGGAUUGUCAUCUGAGGAAAAAAAAUCAAGAUUAAGAGAGGAGGAACUAGAAUGAGAUUCACAUACCGUCUCUCCUCCAAGGGAAGGAGAGAGUGGUGAUGCCUGCCCACUCCUUCCUGGGCAGAACAUUUGUAGCAUGGAACAUUGGAGAAUUUGCAGUCUGCUGACUUUCUGAUUUAGGAGGUUGAUGGGGAGGCCUUAUAAUUUGCAUUUCUAACAAGUUCUGAGGUGAUGCUUCAAGUAUGUCCAGGCAGAAGGGCUGCCUCACAGAGAAUUCUGCCAUACCACAUGGGAAUUGAAGUCACAGACAUCUCUAACCCUCAAGCCUGAAACCAAAAGACUGAAAACCAACACUACAGUGGACAAAGAACAUCUCUGAACUUGUGUGGGGACCAGUGACACAAGGACCUAAGGUCUCUCUCUUCUCAUCUUGGCACUUCAGAAGUCUCCCCAAUCUUGACAAAGCCCUGGAGAAAGGGCCGGGCCUCCCGUUGAUAAGAAUAUCACUGCAGAUAAAUGGAGGUUUCAAAUUGAAAGAAAGGAGGAGGGCCUCCUGUUGAUAAGAUUAUUGUCACUGCAGGUAAAUGGAGGCUUCAAAUAGAAAUACAUUUCAGUUACAGAAAAAAAAAUUAUCUUUGUUACACAUUUGAGUUUGCAGGCCUAAGGUUACUCCCGCUACACUAUCAUCUGUAACCAUAACGCACUCAACAUUUUAAGCUAACUAUAAGGAUUGUUGCUUCACUCAAAGAUCCUGAGGUUUUAUUCACUAACAUUUUUAUUUGGUGACUAUAGUUGACAAGAACAAAGCUGUGGGGAACCAACAAACACUGCAAUGCCUGGCAUUGUCACCUCACUAGAUUGUGAGUUCCUCUGGGACAGGGUCCGUACAUUUUCUUAGAAUCCCUCACUUAGCCAUUAGCCUGCACAGUGCUUGUACUUAGUAAGUGCUCAGUAAAUGUUUGUGGAAUGAAUGCAUGAUGAACAAAAUAUAUACUGAGGACUCUUGGUGUUGAUUCUUGUUGAUAAUGUAAUAGUUAAGAUAUGUUAUAAAUAUGUUAUAAAUAUUGUAUCAAAAUAUUGUAUCAAAAAUAUACUUGAACAGGCUGGGCGUGGUGGCUCACACUUGUAAUCCCAGCCCUUUAGGAGGCUGAGGUGGGUGGAUCACUUGAGGUCAGGAGUUCGAGACCAGACUGGCCAACAUGGUAAAACCCCAUCUCCACUAAAAAAAAACAAAAGUUAACUGGGCAUGGUUGUGGGUGACUGUAAUCCCAGCUACUCAGGAGGCUGAGGCAGGAGAAUCGCUUGAACCCGGGAGGUAGAGGUUGCAGUGAACCAAGAUCGCACCACUGCACUCUAGGGGACAGAGCAAGACGCCUCAAAAAAAAAAAUGUAUAUAUAUAGUAUAUACAUACACAUGAGCAUAAAGGAGCUUCAAUGUGAAGGUAAUAAUUUAAGCAACAUUUCACAUUUUGGACCUGUGUUGUUAGCUAUUUAGAACAGUUAAACUACUAGCUUGCUUUUAAAUCCAUUGUCUUAGUCAUUUCAAGUUGUUAUAACAAAAUACCAUACACUGAGUAGUUUAUAAACAACAGAAUGCAUUUCUCUCAAUUCUGGAGGCUGGGAAGUCCAAGAUCAAGGUGCUGGCAGAUUGUGUGUAGUGAAGAUCCAUUCAUCAGAGAUGGCACCUUCUCGUUGUGUCCUCACAUGGUGGAUGGGGCAACAGGCUCUCUUAGGCUUCUUUUAUAAGGGCAAUAAUUCAUGAAGUUUCCACACUUAUGAUAGAAUUACCUCCUAGAGGCCCCACUUCCAAAUACCAUCACCUUGAGGGUUAGGUUUCAACAUACAAAUUUUGGAGGUACACAUUCAGAUGAUGACAGCACUCAUAGGUUACCUUUCAUCUUUGGGUUCUCAGUGCCUGCUACAACAGCACAAGAACAGUAAGUGUGUGCUGAAUGAAUACAGAUGAAUGAACCUUUCCCCAUCCUCAGAUACUUCCCAACUGAGCUCCACUAUCACCAAACUUCUAGAGCACAUUAUUUUUUGCCUUAUGAUCUCGUUAGGUGGGUUUUUCUUGCACAUACCACACUAAUCCAGUGGUCCUCAAAAUUGUGUGCCCAUUAGAAUCCUCUGGAGGGGUUGUAAAAAUAGUUUGCUGGGUCCUAACCCCAGAGUUUCUGAUUUAGGAGGUUUGGGAUGGGGACACCAAAAUUUGCAUUUCUAACAAGUCCAGAGGUGAUGUUGAUACUGCUGGCUACCAACUCUACCUUAUAAACCAUUGCCCAUUAAACUCUUGAGGGUAGAGACUGUCUUCCUCAUUUCAGUAUCUGCUGAAGCCUCUGGCAUAGUACCUGGCACAUAGUAAGCUGUUGCUUUAAAAAAAAUAAAAAAUGUAACCUUUCUUUGCUUAUAUUCUAAAAUGACACCAACCAUCCUACAUGUGUGCUCUUAAAUAGCUUAUAUAUUAGAAUAAUGGAAUCUUAGUACUAAAGGCUGGAUGUGGUUGCUCAUGCCUGUAAUCCCAGCACCUUGGGAAGCCGAGGUGGGUGGAUCACUUGAGGUCAGGAGUUCAAGACCAACCUGUUCAAUAUGGUAAAACCCUGUCUCUACUAAAAAUACAAAAAUUAGCCCUGCGUGGUGGUGCAUGCCUGUAGUCGCAGAUACUUAGGAGGCUGAGGCAGGAGAAUUGCUUGAACCUGGGAGGUAGAGGUUGCAGUGAGCUGAGAAGAUUGUACCACUGCACUCCAGCCUGGGCAAAAGAGACUGUCUAAAAAAAAAAAAAAAAAGUAAUCUAGUUAAUAUUUCAAUAUUGAGCAUCAAGAAUUUUUAAAAAUUGGUUGAGUGUUUUCUACAUGCAGAAAGAUACAGCAGAGAGCAUAGACACAAUCCUUGCCCUCCCAAGCGUAUACCCAGCGAGAAAGUGAGAAGCACAGAGUAUGUGUAAGCAUAAAAAUACUAAGUUUUGAGAGUAGACAGCAACUAUGAAAAUAUUCAGUUAUAUCGAUGCAACUCAGUCUUCAUUAAUUGUUCUCAUCGGAGCACAUCUUUUUCACAUUCUGUAAAGUAACGCUCGGUAUGGGCCCAAGGAAUAUUUAAUAAAUAUUUAAAAAUGAAGUUAAUAAUUGUUUUGAAAGCCAUAUGGUUGAUAUUUCUUCUUAAAUGUAACCAAUAGAAACAACAUAAGGAAUUUGGCCUGUGCAUAUAUUUGCACAUUUAUGGUACAGGCAUUUACAUGGAGGUGCCUGUCAUUUGUGACACAGACUUCUCAUCAAGUUUCAGAAGGAACAGAUGUUUCUAGAUGGAAUAAUAUGGAGCUUGCCAUUGUAAGAAUCCUGUAAUAAAUCCUUUCAUAAAAUAAAUAUAUCUGAAUUAUCUCUUGUUAUACAUUUUCACUCCUGGAUCAUCUAAAGUAGAACACAAAGAUUGUUCAUAAACUAUUCAUUCAAAACAACUUUAUAUAAAAAGAAUUACUGUUG
rnacentral:lncRNA from 1 species